GGAAUAUUGAAGCUGUACCGGGAAAGACGAGCUGGAAUUUUGCUACGAACAGAUAUCAAAAUUUUAAGGUUUCUUUUCCGAUGUGUUCUCCUCCAGCCAGUGAAUUUUGUUUCACAGACCAGUGAAAGAAAAAUUAAAAUGAAAAAGGAAAAUGAAGAAGUUAAUGAUACCAGAUUUCAGCGAAGCUGAACGGCUUCC
rnacentral:lncRNA from 1 species